GUGAGGAAUAUUGGUCAAUGGGCGAAAGCCUGAACCAGCCAUGUCGCGUGAAGGAUGAAGGUCCUAUGGAUUGUAAACUUCUUUUGCAGGAGGGUAAAGUGAGCUACGUGUAGUUCAUUGCAAGUACCCUGCGAAUAAGCAUCGGCUAACUCCGUGCCAGCAGCCGCGGUAAUACGGAGGAUGCGAGCGUUAUCCGGAUUUAUUGGGUUUAAAGGGUGCGUAGGCGGACUAAGUAGUCAGCGGUGAAAUUUUGCGGCUCAACCGUAAAACUGCCGUUGAAACUGUUAGUCUUGAGUGCGGUAGAGGUAGGCGGAAUGUGUGGUGUAGCGGUGAAAUGCUUAGAUAUCACACAGAACACCGAUUGCGUAGGCAGCUUACUGGAGCGCAACUGACGCUGAGGCACGAAAGCGUGGGGAUCGAACAGGAUUAGAAAACCGAGUAGUCC
rnacentral:rRNA from 1 species